AAUGAACGCUGGCGGUAUGCCUAACACAUGCAAGUCGAACGGCAGCACAGUGAGAGCGUGCUCUUGCGGGUGGCGAGUGGCGGACGAGUGAGGAAUACAUCGGCAUCUACUUUUACGUGGGGGAUAACGUGGGGCAACUUACGCUAAUACCGCAUACGAUCUACGGGAGAGAGCAGGGGAUAUUCGGACCUUGGGCGAUUGAAUGAGCUGGUGUCGGUUUAGCUAGUUGGGGGGGUAAAGGAUCACCAAGGCGACGAUCCGUAGCUGGUCUGAGAGGAGGUUCACCCACCUUGGACCUGAGACAGGGCCCAGACCCCUACGGGAGGCAGAAGAGGGGAAUGUUGGACAAGGGGCGCAAGCCUGAGCCAGCCAUCCCGCGUGGGUGAAGAAGGCCUCCGGGUUGUAAAGCCUUUUUGUUGGGAAAGAAAAGCAGCAGGUUAAUACCCCGCUGUUUUGACGGUACCCAAAGAAUAGGCACGGCUAACUUCCGU
rnacentral:rRNA from 1 species